rnacentral:rRNA from 1 species
UACGAAGGGGGCUAGCGUUGUUCGGAAUUACUGGGCGUAAAGGGUGCGCAGGCCGCGCGGGCAGUCAAAUGUGUAAUCCAGGGGCUCAACCCCUGAACUGCGCUUGAUACUUCCGCGCUCGAGCUUUGGAGAGGAGUCUGGAAUUCUCGGUGUAGCAGUGAAAUGCGUGGAUAUCGAGAAGAACACUUAGGGCGUAGGCAAGACUCUGGACAAAUGCUGACGCUCAUGCACGAAGGCUAGGGUAGCGAACGGG